CCUACGGGGCGCAGCAGUGGGGAAUAUUGGACAAUGGGCGAAAGCCUGAUCCAGCCAUGCCGCGUGUGUGAAGAAGGCCUUCGGGUUGUAAAGCACUUUCAGUGGGGAAGAAAGCCUUGGGGCUAAUACCCUCGAGGAAGGACAUCACCCACAGAAGAAGCACCGGCUAACUCCGUGCCAGCAGCCGCGGUAAUACGGAGGGUGCGAGCGUUAAUCGGAAUUACUGGGCGUAAAGCGCGCGUAGGCGGUCUGAUAAGCCGGUUGUGAAAGCCCCGGGCUCAACCUGGGAACGGCAUCCGGAACUGUCAGGCUAGAGUGCCGGAGAGGAAGGUAGAAUUCCCGGUGUAGCGGUGAAAUGCGUAGAGAUCGGGAGGAAUACCAGUGGCGAAGGCGGCCUUCUGGACUGACACUGACGCUGAGGUGCGAAAGCGUGGGUAGCAAACAGGAUUAGAUACCCGUGUAGUC
rnacentral:rRNA from 1 species